rnacentral:rRNA from 1 species
AUUGAACGCUAGCGGCAUGCCUAACACAUGCAAGUCGAACGGCGUGGCGGACGCGUGAGGAAUGUAAAGGAACGUGCCACGGACCGGGGGAGAACUACCCGUAAGCGUAGCUAUUACCGCACACUCUUGGAGCGGCCGAUACCGGAUUAGCUGGUUGGUGGGGGAACGGCUUACCAAGGCGACGAUCCGUAGCUGGUUUGAGUGGACGACCAGCCACACUGGAACUGAGACACGGCCCAGACUCCUACGGGAGGCAGCAGUGGGGAAUUUUGGACAAUGGGGGAAACCCUGAUCCAGCCAUCCCGCGUGGGUGAUGAAGGCCUUCGGGUUGUAAAGCACUUUUAGCGGGAAGGCGGUACCUGCAGAAUAAGCAACGGCUAACUACGUGCCAGCAGCCGCGGUAAUUC